ensembl:lncRNA
ACCUUAUCCGUUGCGCUGGUGCCUGAUUUUCUGACUGCAAAGUCUCUUCAAAGUCUCCUUUGCAAUUUCUCUGAAGUCUAAACCUCCCUUUGUCUUUUCAUGGAUGAGAGAAUAACAGUGGCUAUAUGAAACGGAGCGGCGAUCUCAAAUACUCGCCAUACUCUGUUUUUCAGCUCCACUUGUUCCAGCAAGCACUUCUGAGGAGUUCAAUCUGGUGUGUCAUGACUAGAACUGGACCAGCAGUUAGACAGAAAAAAGAAGAGAGAAGUAGCUUUUGCACUAUUGUCUGGCAUCAUCUACCUGGAACCAACAGGGUCCACAUUCAGACCACGAAGAAGAGAGACCUCCAGGUGAGAAUUCGUAAUGGACCUGCCCUUCUCAGCCCCGAGAAUAGGAGACUUUCCUUCUUGAAGAGUGUUUAAAUGAUGCUGUGAAAGUUAACAAUCAUACAAUGGGAUGAAAGUUAGUCAUCUCUCAAGCACAGUAAGAAGAAUGAUAAAAAUAAUAGCUAACAACUGAAGCAGAAGACAGGGAGGCCUUUGUGCUGCAUAUGCUGGGACAAAGGAAGAAGAACCACAGAGGGAACUUCAUUCUUCAGUUCCAAAUUCUUCUGUUUUUUGCUCUGUCAAAAUAAAUCUUAGUCUUUCAACCUUAUUUUUUUCCUAUAAUGGGGAAAACAAUGAAACACAAUUUUUUAAUGAAAAUAAACAUUAAAUGACAAGGUGAAUAUUACCAUUCCAGCUAGUGGCUCUUCAUCUACUUUUCCUGAGAGACGACUAUGAGGACUAUACCCCAAAUAACACUCAAGUGAUACAUAACUUUCAGCUCCAGGAGUAAAGGUACUGUCAGUCUCUUGUGUUCCUACUGAUCAGCUCAGCAUCUGGAUCAUAUGUACCACAUGUAAGAUGACCAUUUUCUAUCUUCUUAACUACAUUGCAAAAGAUGCUGGCGAUUCAUGUGAUCUUAACAGGAAUCUAACUCAGGACCUUGAGCUUGCAAGGCAAGCGUGGCGCCACUGAGCUAAAUAAAUCCCCAGCCCUACUUUGUUGAUUUUAAAGUUUGUUGAAGCUAACAUCAAUUUCUUACACAUAUGCUGAUUCCACAUAAGUUUUACUUUUCCUUCAAAUCUCUGUGUGUAUCAUUGUUAUUAGUGCCAUGUCAGUUAUGCCCAGGGAGUCGGAAAUGAUACUGUAUUUAAAAAAAAAAAUUUUUGAGACAAGAGUCUCACUAUGUAAUUCAGGCUGGUCUUGAACCGAUGGUGACUCGCUUGUCUCAGCCUCCUGGGUGCUGGUAUUAAAUUCAUGCACCACGACACCUGGCGAGAGAUAGUGUUUUUAAACAAUAAGAUAUCACUCAAGUCUCUUAGUACAACAGUGCAUUAGAAUGUGUAUACCUUAAAAUUUGAGGAUUGCUUUCUGAAAAUAAAGGCUGCUCGAAUUGCCAUUAUCUGCAUUAUAUAGUACGAGAGUUUGAGGGAUAUUUGAAUAACUAAAAUAUUAUUAAAUAAAGAAAUUACUUGUUAAAAUACUGGGUAGGUAAUAUAGUGUCUAUUUCCUUACUGUACUAAGAAGUGCUUCAAAAUGUCAUUCAAUAAUGAUGCCUUGUGAUUAGUUACAUAGCACCAUUCAAGGUAAAAAAUAGUUCACAUACAUCUUAGUAACAGAAAUGUAAUGUAAAAAUUUUAUUGGGUAGGAUAAUUGCUUGGAGGAAAAAAGAUGCAUUAUCUUCACAGAUUCAAAAUAUAACAACAGAGAAGCCAACUUCUGAUCAAGUAUCUAUAAGAUAUUUUAAAACUAUUUUAUUAAGUAAAACAUCUAAUAUACUUACUUGGAGAAAUAUUUAUGUUAUUCAGUACUUUACAUAUAUUUUUAGGAUAAAUUUUAUUUUAAAAUAAAAUUACCAGAUUGAUUAAUAUUCUUAUUCUUUGGAAUUUUAAUGCAAUGCCAGCAACUAAGCUGAGAAUACUUAAAUAUCUUACAAAAAUAAUUGGUAUUCAAUGGAUUCAUCAGUUUUUCUGAAUUCUAUGAAUUAGACAAACAGCUGUAUAUAUGUAUAUAUAUUAAUCUCUCAGUUUUAAGUUUUUAAAGUUAAAACUAUGAAAGCAUUUAGAAUAUUUUUCGUAUUUUUAAACUGAGCUAUCUAUCCAGACACAAAUCAUGUGGUGUUUCCUAAUUCAACUAUCACUUCUCCUGAGUCUGAAUAUUCUUUCAAACGAAGUUAUCACUGAAGAAAAAUGUACUUUUAAAAUUUCACCCUAAUUUUGUUAGCAGCACAUUGUUUGUAUAAUGAAAUUAAUCUAUGUGCACUCUGGGAAAAUAAAAAAAUAAAAUCACACUCCUGGAAAUCAUAGCUAACUACUGUUUGCACUUUAUUCUCUGCUUCAAGACAUUUGUAUGUCUAUAAGCAUGUAUUUGGGAAGAAUGAACAGUUGAGAGGGAGGGAGGAGAAAAAAGGGAGAGAGAUAUUUUGUUUUGAAUACUGAAGCUUUCUCCACACAUUGCUUAACUUUGCAUAUAUUUUUAAAUAAUUACUUGCAAAUUUAUGGAUAUUUCCAAUACAGUUCCAUAUCGGUGAGUAUUUAUGUUGCUCACCCAUUAGUAAUAUGUGAUUUAUUUUUCACCAUAUAUAAACAAUGAAUGGUUUAGAACCCCAUGUUAACUCUCCAAUUAUUUUCUUUGAAUGUCACACUGAGAUCACAAUUAUGAGACAAAAGGAAUACUGAUUCCUCAUUCAAUAAAUGUCAUUAAAUAUAAAUUUCAUGUUUGUCUAUCUUGUUUAAUUUGUACUGAAAUUAUGGGUGACUUUUUUCAUAGUUAAACUGCAAAUGAUGUAUAUCAUCAACUAAUAAAUAUUCUUAAGAAUACAAAUGAAAUAAAAAUACAAGAUACAUUUCCCACUGGUUAUGAACAGCCC